rnacentral:rRNA from 1 species
GAUGAACGCUGGCGGCGUGCCUAAUACAUGCAAGUCGAGCGGACGGACGGGGAGCUUGCUCCUCUGACUUUAGCGUCGGGCGGGGGAGUGACACGUGUAGAACCUACCUAUGAGACUGGGAUAACUUCGGGAAACCGUAGCUAAUACCGGAUAAUAUAUUGAGCCGCAUGGUUCAAUAGUGAAAGGCGGUUUUUCUGUCACUUAUAGAUGGAUCCGCGCCGCAUUAGCUAGUUUGUAAGGUAACGGCUUACCAAGGCAACGAUGCGUAGCCGACCUUGGAGGGUGGACGGCCAAACCUGAAACGAGAAAAGGUCCCGAAUACUACGGGAGGGAGCAGUAGGGAAUCUUUCGAAAUGGGGGAAAGCCUGACGGAGCACAGCCGCGUGAGUGAUGAAGGUCUUCGGAGUGUAAAACGCUGUUAGUAGGGAAGAAAAAAUGUGUAACUAACUACGCACGUCUUGACGGUAACCAAUAAGAAAGCCACGGCUAACUACGUG